UCCGGUUUGUCACCGGCGGUCUCCUUAGAGUUCCCACCAUUACGUGCUGGCAACUAAGGACAAGGGUUGCGCUCGUUGCGGGACUUAACCCAACAUCUCACAACACGAGCUGACGACAGCCAUGCACCACCUGUGCACUUGCCCCGAAGGGCUGCCGAGUUUCCCCGACAUUCAAGUGCAUGUCAAGCCUUGGUAAGGUUCUUCGCGUCGCGUCGAAUUAAACCACAUGCUCCGCUGCUUGUGCGGGCCCCCGUCAAUUCCUUUGAGUUUUAGCCUUGCGGCCGUACUCCCCAGGCGGGGUGCUUAACGCGUUAGCUACGGCACCGCAGGGGUCAAUACCCGCAGCACCUAGCACUCAUCGUUUACGGCGUGGACUAC
rnacentral:misc_RNA from 1 species